GGGAAUAUUGCACAAUGGGCGAAAGCCUGAUGCAGCAACGCCGCGUGAGUGAUGAAGGCCUUCGGGUUGUAAAGCUCUGUCUUCUGGGACGAUAAUGACGGUACCAGAGGAGGAAGCCACGGCUAACUACGUGCCAGCAGCCGCGGUAAUACGUAGGUGGCAAGCGUUGUCCGGAUUUACUGGGCGUAAAGGAUGCGUAGGCGGAUACUUAAGUCAGAUGUGAAAAUCCCGGGCUUAACUUGGGAACUGCAUUUGAAACUGGGUAUAUAGAGUGCGGGAGAGGAAAGUGGAAUUCCUAGUGUAGCGGUGAAAUGCGUAGAGAUUAGGAAGAACACCAGUGGCGAAGGCGACUUUCUGGACCGUAACUGACGCUGAGGCAUGAAAGCGUGGGGAGCAAACA
rnacentral:rRNA from 1 species